AUGAACAGCCCAUCUUCCAAGCUGAGGGGAAAGUAAAUCAACCCACUCAUUCAAGGUCAUAGUUAGUAAGUGGCAUAGCUGGGAUUCCAACUCGAAUCUUUAGACCCCAAGGCCAAUGUGCCUUCCAUCAGACCACAGCUAGUGCCCCAUCGACAGCAAAGUGAAUAUUGGGGUGCAAGGAAAGGCAGCAAUUCACAAUUUGAAAAGAGAUAAGCCCACGGCAAGCAUAAUGGCACCUGCAAUCUAUACCUGCACCUGGACCCCUGGUAGACCUGGACAGCCUCAGAAUCAUUAUCAACCCAGUGUCUCUAGUAGCCAGAACUAAUCAGUUAGAAUCCGCACAGAAUACAAACCCAAACACCUUGGCUUCACUUAUUUGGAAGCUUCAUCUGGUGGUGUCCCACUUAGAAACAUUCCACUAAGAAAGUGGUAAAUAAGAUGGAAUUUGAAAAGGCAGAUAGGUAAUGUUGAGGAAGGUGGACAUUCAGGAGAACUGACAAACUAUACCUUAUCCUAUCCUACAGCAGUGGUUUGCAACCAGGGACAAUUUUGUCCCUCAAGGUGACAUCUGGCAACAUCUGGAGAUAUUUUUGGUUGUCACAGCUGAGGGGUGCUACUGGCAUCUAGUGAGUAGAGUCCAGAGGGGCUGCUAAAGAUCAUAAAAUUGCACAGGACACUUGGCCCCCCCUGCAGCAAACAAUUAUGCAGCCCAAAAUGUCAAUAGUGCUGUAGUGGAGAAACCCUGCCUUAGAGCACAGCGCAGGUAAAGGAGGCAGCAGAUUAUACGAUAGUUCCUUGCAGAUGCCUGCUACCUCUCUAUCACAUUAGCGAAACAAAAUUGAGGGAACUGAAGCCAUUGGCUUAGGGUCUGUUUCCGGUUGCUGACACAGUGCAGUGUAAGGAGGUCACACUGGUUUCAGUUAUAGUUGGCUGCAGUACCUUUUUGUUUUCUUCCAGCCCAGAAGACCUAAAGUAGCAUAAGAUGCUACCCACAAAUCCUGUAUCAACGUGGCUUUUGGCUUUGCUCUCACAGUUUCUCACCAACCCAGAAAAACAACAGUAAAGGGAACUUACAAGAAAAGGGAAAGUGUAGGGGUGAGGGAAAGAGUGGAUCAGAAUCACCAAGGAAAACUCCUCCUACCACUCUCCCCACAGCCACGCUGGUUCUCACUGCUGCUGUAGGGAACAGAGAAUUUAUACUGAUCUUCCAUGAAAUCUGACGGAGUGAUGUGACCAGUAUUUCCAACACAGCAUUCCACAGCACCAAAAUUUGUAACAAGAAAAGAGUCCAUGUUUUCUAGGUUUUAAACAACCUAGAAGAUAGGUUAAGGUGAAUGGGUCAGGUUCAACUUCAGAUCCACUCUCAAUUUACCCAGUGAAUGGUUUCAUUCAUUCAACAAAGACCACGUCUCGCGAUCUGUGCAGAGGAGCUUCAAGGAAUGCCGCAACCAAGGCUGCCAACCGCUGUGUGAGAUGAAGUGCCCCAGGCAGCCCAAGUUAUGAAGCCUAUUCGGAUUUGAAACAGCUACAGAGAUUCUGGACAGAGAGUUCUUGCCAUUUUAUCUCUUUCCGUGGUUGCUUCGCUUCAUUCUUUAAAUACCGAGCGUGAUCGUAACUGGACUGCACUGGAGACAAAAAUCUUCAGAUGUUCUUCUACAUAAACACGGAAUUUCAGCUACCAACUGGAUCACACUCUUUCAUCCAUGUGCCAAGGAAGUUCAAAUCCUGCACACCAUAGCCUAUGAAAGGAUUGAAUCCCAGUUUAGAAUUGGACAAAAGACCUGCUAGAGGCAACCUGCUGCUGUGGAAGUCAGCAUCUAUCUCCAAUUCUGGCUGUUGACCUAAAGGGACAUUUAAUGAAUCAGUGGCAACAUGAGGUAGA